rnacentral:lncRNA from 1 species
GUCUGUCGUCCGUUGAUUCGUGUGCAGUACACCGUGAUAGGCUGAUGGAUAUAACGGGGUGUAGAUCCAUGGUGGAGAUCGGAGAAGUUUGGAUUUGGAGGCAGCUUGAGCUUUGCAAGGUGAUGAGUGAUGAUGACUCGGCAUGCGUACUGACAAUUAGGAUGACGAUAAAUCCUCGAACUCUUCGAAUGGUCCAUGCAGUUAAAAGAAAGAAGAUGACACCCAAAAUUAUUGGUAGACGACCGCAUGCACACUGUUGUUUGCCUUAUGCUCAUUAUCC